rnacentral:rRNA from 1 species
UACAGAGGGUGCGAGCGUUAAUCGGAAUUACUGGGCGUAAAGGGCGCGUAGGCGGCCAGCACAAGUCAGUUGUGAAAUCUCCGAGCUUAACUCGGAACGGUCAGCCGAUACUGCGGGGCUAGAGUGCAGAAGGGGCAACUGGAAUUCUCGGUGUAGCGGUGAAAUGCGUAGAUAUCGAGAGGAACACCUGCGGCGAAGGCGGGUUGCUGGGCUGAUACUGACGCUGAGGCGCGAAAGCUAGGGGAGCGAACGGG